ACACCCCUGUACAAUAUGUACCACACUCUGCAAAGUGCUUUUCUCACUUAGCUCACCUAAGGGCCGACCUCAGUAGACCUCAUGGUCAUAGCAUUUUUUUUUUCCCAAAGUGACACUAUUGUGCUUUUAUUUGAUUUUCAGCGCAGUUAACUGUGAUUUUUUUUUUAAGUUGGGCCCUGAGCUAACAUCUGUUGCCAGUCUUCCUCUUUUUUUUUUCUCCCCAGAGCCCCAGCACAUGGUUGUAUAUCCUAGUUGUGAGUCCUUCUAGUUCUUCUAUGUCGGACGCACCACAGCAUGGCUUGAUGUGUAGGUCCGUGCACAGGAUCUGAACUGGCGAACUCUGGGCCACCAAGCGGAGCACGUGAACUUAACCACUGCACCAUGGAGCGGGCUCUCCAUAGCAUUUCUUAAAAGGCAGCUUCUCUCCCUAAAAAUAAUCAUAUUGUAUAACACAGAUGUGUAAACUUAUUAUUCUUAUUAUUUCUACUUCUCUGGGCAUCCAGUCACAUACUUGUAGGAAUGGCUAACCAAUAGAAUAUGAGAAACUACAAAACUCUCUCCAGAACUACAGAAGGCAAUGCAGAGAUGGAGAGAUGAGCCAUCAGGGUGGGUAGAAAGACCAUGUUGUCUUCUCAAAUAUUUUAAUGAAAUUAGAAUUAAAAAUCUCAAUGGGGCUUUUUUUCCUUUUUUUUUUUUGUCCUUUACAAAAUGGUUCUCGGAGUCACUUGGAAGAAUAAAUAGGUGAAAGAAACCCAGAAAUUAUUGAAAUUGAGAGGCUUGCAUAUGAAAAAGCUAUGAUCAAUAAAACAGAGUGAUACAGGUACAAGAAAGAAUAGAUCAGGGGGCCGGCCCAAUGGUGCAGCAGUUAAGUUCACACAUUCUGCUUCUCGGUGGCCCGGGGUUUGCCAGUUCGGAUCCUGGUUGCAGACAUGGCUCCGCUGGGCAAAAGCCAUGCUGUGGUAGGCAUCUCAUGUAUAAAGUAGAGGAAGAUGGGCACAGAUGUUAGCUCAGGGCCAGUCUUUCUCAGCAAAAAGAGGAGGAUUGGCAGUAGUUAGCUCAGGGCUAAUCUUCCUCAAAAAAAAAAAAAGAAAGAAAGAAUAGAUCAAUGUAACAGAAUAAGUAACCUAAACACAAAAUAUCUAUCAAAUUGUAAUACAUGAUAAGUAAGACAUCACUAUAUGUGAAAGAAAGCCUUAUCCAAUAAAAUGUGCAUGUACAAUUGGUUAGCUAUUUGGAAAAUUAAUCUGCACGCUGCAAGCCAAAAUAAAUCCAAACAGUUCAAGCAAAGAGCUACAUGCCACAAAGGACAGAAAAAAGAAAAGAAACCCUAAGAACUAGAAAGAAUGCUAAGUCAAUGUCUGUUUUAUCUCUCAAUGAAGGACUUUCUAAGUUAAAAAGCAAUGGAAGGCAUCCGAAAGAAAGAUCAAUAGGUUUGACCACAUAAAGAUGAGAAAACCUUUGUCCACUGAAAACAUUAGAAACAAAAUUGAGAAGUAAGUAAGCAGCCAGGAAAACUAUUUCAACAAAUAUAACGGACCUUGGGUUAAAAUCCUUAGUAAUAAAGAGCUUAUAAAAAUCAUUAAGAACACAAAAUGCCAAUUGAUAGAAAGAUGAGAAAGACAAGUCACAGAAGAAUCCAAAAGUUUAACCUUUCUAGAAAUAAGAGAAAUGAAAAACUAAGACGGCAUAUCUAAAAACCAUUUUAAUAGCUUUUUCUAAUUAUAAAAGUGAUGUAAGUUUAUGGUAGAAAAUCUAGAAAAUAAAAUUGACCCACUAGGUCACCAUCCAGAAGUGACCAUCACUAACUUUUGCUGUAUAUGCUGCAAGUGUUGUUUCCUCUGCCUUUUUCUUUUUUAAUUAGGGUGAUAUUGUUGGCAUCCCAUUUUCUGCCUAUCAAAUUACAGAGGUCUUUUUAAAGCUUAUAUACAAUGCUGGUAACAGUGCAUAUGGUUCAGACAAUGUAGAUGCAAUUGAAUAGGAAAGGGGCUUAAUCCAUUCUGUCCUUUUUCUGAGACCACAGCUGAACUGGGGUGCCGGGCAAAUUGUGACCCCAGUAGGCGAGUGGGUGUAGGGAUUUCAGAUUUGCAAGGCCAGAGCACCAGAGUCAGCAGGGAGCUUUUCAAGAGGACAGACUCUGGGGCCCCACCCAAGUCCAGGGAAUUAGAGGCCCCCUCUCUCCCCAGCGUCCACCUCUAGCUAACCGUGGUUAGCCUUGGUUUCUCUGAGCCUUGGUUUCAAUGUAGAUUCCUACCUCACAGGGUCAUCAUGAGAAUUAAAGGACAUAGGUCAGCAAAUGUGUUUAGCCCACUGCCUGUUAGCUCAAAAGGACAAACUCUGAGUGAGAACGUGCUUUCUCUUUUUAUAACUAAGGACCAUCAAGGGAUUCUUGCUGAACAAAGGCACUGAAAAUUCAAAUAUCUGCCUUCCAAAAGUCAGAAAACUGCUUGCAGCUUUUAAAUGCUCUUCUCCGCCUUUCCAAAUACCUCCUGGCUACAUUUCAGAGAGCCCUGGAGUAACAGUCCUCUCUGUAAACACCUCCUACUUGCCCAAGGUGACAGCACAUCAGAGACAGAACUGGGCCGAGGCCCCUGAAUCCAAGCCUGCCCUUCAAUUCCCUACCCAAUCUUGACCCUUUGCUGGAGAGUGCCAGGCACAGUGCUGAGCUGCCGAGAGGGAAGGCGGCUGCCAUAGGCAGUGGGGGUGGGGGUGAGGAUGGAGGUGGCUGUGGGCAGCCCCUCUGGUUCUGGGCCUGUUGCUCAUUAGGGGUCACUGUGUCCAGAGGCACUUCCUCUCUCCCUUGACAAGGGGCUCAGAUCCUCGCCCCCACUGUCCUCGUCCUUCCUCAGAGCUGCUGCCCACAUCAGGGCUGUCAUGUCAGCUCCCCUCCUGACACUGUGCCUUGGCAUAAUAAAUGCUCCAGUCGAAUGUACUUUAUUUUGGGGAAAGUCACUAAACUACUUUUGUGGCAACAUUUUAAUUGAAUUAGAUUGUUUUCUGAUGGUAAGAAAUGUUAAUUGAGUGGGCCUAGUGUCCUUGGAUCCAGCUAGCUUCUCGUGGUUUAAUUGGGAGGAGAGUGAGGACUAACUUCUUUUCACCAUGAGUCUGUGGUUUAAAUUUAUCUUUUGUGCCAAUAAAGUGAUCAGGUGAGUGCAGGGAGCACAUUAUUUCUUAUGUCUGAGGUUUAAUAACCUGCUUCACUCACAGGGCCAAGAGGCAGCCCCUGUUCGGUGUCACUGGGGCGUGACCCAGUUCUCUCAUCUUGGCUUAAUGAGGUUUUCUCCAUUUCUCUUGGGAAAAGAAAGAAGUUUUAAGUUCUGAAGAAUACUAAUCACCUGGUUUCAGGGGGAAGAAGUUGCUGAUUCCCAUGGGCACGGCUGACCAGAGAGGCAGGUGGUCUGCCAGGCAGCUGAGACCCCCAAGCUUUUUGUUCAUACCUGGAGCAGACAGGCCCCGGGCAGUUGCAGAAACUUGGAACAGUUGAGAGACCCUGGCAGCUUCCUCAUUUUAGCGAUAUGGAAACUGCAGCCCAGAGGGGGAAGGGGCAUAUCCAAGGCCACACACUGUGGCCCUGGUACAGUAACAUCUACAGCCCAAGGAGUCUUUGACUAGUAACAAAUUCAGUUUUGGUUCUGACAUGACCGAGACCCUGGGGUAGGUGUAAGGGUGGAGAUAGAUCCAAGGUCCUCAAUGAGCUUGCACAAUAGUGACAGUGAUGGUUGUGUAAACUGGGUGACAACAGCAGGGCCCAUACAACAUAGAAGGCAAUGUGAGGGACCAGGCAUGUUGCCUUGGACUUGUGGGGAGGAAGGGCAGUCUGGGAAGCGAUGAAGAGGAGGUGUGUCGGCACUGGGUUUUGAAGGAUAAAUAGGAGUUUGCCAGGUGGACAAAGUGUGGAGAAGGGCAUUCUAGGCAGAAGCAAUAGCAUAUGCAAAGCCAAGUUUGUUCUGGCAAAUAUGAGAUCCACAGGAGGCUCUCAGAGGCAGGACCUGUUCAGAUUUGCACUAUAGGAAAGAUCCCUCUGGCUGCUGCAGUGGAGGAGGGUCCAGAGGGGGAAUCUAGAGGCAGGGAGAGCCAGGUGAGAGAGACUGGGACCCCCCCCAGCUCAGCUCAUUGCCAUGAAGAUGGAAGAGUAGAGUCAGAUCCUAGAAAUAUUCCUGAGGUAGAGUCAAGUUCCUGGCUUAAGUAGCCGCCUAGGAGGUCAGGUCUCUUGAGAAGGUCCCAGGAGGGAGCAGGUGAGGAGGAAGGGACGGGUGACGCCCUCCCGUUGGACAAGCUCCUUGGCAACUGAAUGGUUUAUUCUUACUCUGAAUGGUGCUGGGGGGCGAUGAGACUUACAAUAGCAGCACAGCCCAUGUUGAACAGCUUUCUGCAGCUGGACACCAUUACAUGUGCUUUGCCUACAUUAAGCAGGCAUUUAUCUUCAGGACAACCUUGUGAGGUGGGUCCUGUUUUUUUUUUUUAAAGAUUGGCACCUGAGCUAACAUCUGUUGCCAAUCUUUUUUUUAUUUCUUUUUUUUUCCUUCUUCUCCCCAAAGCCCCCUAGUGCAUAGUUGUAUACUCUAGUUGUAGGUCCUUCUGGCUCUGCUAUGUGGGAUGCAGCCUCAGCAUGGCUUGAUGAGCGGUGCUAGGUCUGUGCCCAGGAUCCAAACUGGCGAAACCCUGGGCCGCUGAAGCGGAGUGCAGAAACUUAACCACUCGGCCAUGGGGCCAGCCCGAGGUGGGUCCUGUUCUUACUCCUUUCACCAGUGAGGAAACCUGGGCAUAGAGAUGGUCGGUGACUUGCCCAAGGUCACUGAGCUUAGGAGGUGGGAGAGUGGCAGCUCUCCCAGGCUGAGUCAGGGCCCCUCUGACCUACCCCAAAUAAAUAUGUGCUCCACAAUCAGAUGGAGCUUAAUUGACUCUUUACCCAAAAUUAUCCAUUGUAACAGGCAACAAGAGUCUAGGUUUUCCUUUGAGAAAUCAGAAGAACUUCCUAGCACCAAACAGUAUUCCCAAGGAGCACCAGGGCCCCAGACCUCAGCAUCUCAUUCUAUCGGUGCCCAGGCCCCUCUUGUCUGAUGGGAGGAGGUAAGAAGUCUAGACUGGGCUUUCUUCUUGAAUGCCCCACAGUAUAGCAAGAAGGGCCUGGGCUCAAACACACUUACUCCCCAUGUGACCCUGGGCAAGUCCCUCUCCUCUCCAAGCCUCACCAACUGACCAACUGUGUCUCCAUCAGACCCUCCCAGGGCUGCCAUGAGGUUGCUGGGGUCCUGGAACAUCAACAAUAAUUGAUGGCUAUUGUGAUUAUGGCUGUCCCAGCCUUGCUCCUGGCUCUCUCCAGGCUGAGGUGACCUGAGGACACAGGACCACCCUGGGAAAAGUAUCCUCACAGUGGCAGCCGCUAACCCCAGAAACUGGGCCCCAGGCCUGCCACCCAGAAAUCAAGCUCACUGUUAGUGGAGCCUCUUUCUUAAGUGGGUCCUGACCCCUCAGAAACCCUUGAGUAGUUUCUUUGUUGGGAGGCCCAGCAGCAUCCGCUUCCCCAUCCACAUGCCUGUCAGGAUUCUGUUCACCCUUUCAGGCCUGAGUCCACCCACCUUCUCUCCAACCCCUGAGGGCAUCUCCCUCCCUGCUCUCUGCCUCUGCCCCAUCUGCCACUGGGUACUACUUGAUGCUGGCAAACUCCCAGGGCAGGCCUAUGCCUCCAACUCGCACUCAAGGCCUGCCAGAGCUUUUCCUGCAGUAGCUCCAGCUGAGGGGUGUGGAUGGAUAGAGAUGGGAUGGAAUUUGCCAGGAUAAAAUUCUACCCGCCCUCCUCACACACACACACAUGCACACCCCCGCACACACAUGCACAAUCAGGCCCACCUUCCCAUUUUGUGGCCAUGAUAGCCUUAUCUUUGGCUCCACCUCAUCUGGUUCUGGGGCCUCUCCCCACUCUGCCCUGCUCCUCACCGAGCUGUCUCAGAUGCUUGUCUGGCCCCUGGUAAGCAUUCCCACCCCACCCUUCUCACUGGGACAUACCCUGACAUUGGAACAGGGGCUGGCACCAGGCAAGGUGCCACUACACACCACAGUAGCCCUGUCCCUGAGAAAAUAAGAGGAACGUGGCUUGGGAGCUGGUCAUCUACCAGCUCCAGGAAACUCCCACAAAAUCCAGGAAGAAAGCAAACCUAGGUCAUUCCUGAUGAGGCCAGGAAAGUGAACCUUGAAAAGCAAGAUUAAGAAGCUUUUUCCUCUCUCUCCUCACUUGCUAGAGAGCAAAGCCUCAGGGUCAACUGGUUACCAACUGAUGGGUUUCCUGUCACUGCAGGGUUCCCCUCCUCUGCCUUCUCCUGCAGGAUAGACCAGCUGUUGGUGCCAGAGUAAUGGCCACAAUUAAAAGCAAAAUGCCCUUACUGUGGGCUGCUGUCCUCCCACACCUGUGAGUCUGGAGGCUGAGCUCCACACUCCGAGAAUGGAAGAAUGGUAAUGAAAUCAGACAGGCCUCUUAACCGCUGAUGGUAUCAGGGCCCAGGGGAGAUGCAGACUUAUUCCUAAUCUCCCACAGAGCAUCUGUCAGCCCGACCACAUAGCAAUAUCAUUCUCACGUGCAGCAAGGACCUUUCAUGGGGUGAACUGUCAACUGCCUGCCUGGCUACCCACCCACCCUCCUCCCCCUGGGCCCCUCCUCUAGCCUCUUCCCCCUGCCUGGACUUAGGCUGCAGAUAUUCACAAACACACACUCACACACACACACUCAUACAUACACACACCCUGCUUCAUUCGUAAUUGCCUGCUCUGCCCCAUUUGCAUAGAUGGAAGAAAGAGAAAAAUAGGAACAUCCCUCUAGCAGUGUUGGAAAACAGUGAAGUGUACCAUUGAAAGAGUAAUCAUUCUGAGGGAUUUCUAGAAGCUUAGAAGCAGAUGAGAACAAGCAAAAGGAGAGCAUUGGUGCUACACAGCCUGUGACCCACUCAGACAACUCUGGGGACUGGUUUCCCCACCAGAGCCCAGGGAGCCCCUCAACUGGGCAGCAGGGGUGGGCAAAGGGGCCGGAGGAGGAGGCCUCUGGAGCUACAUCCAGCCCAGCCUUUGUCCCAAAGCUUCACUGGAUUAGGACUGCAUGCGGACUCGGUGAGGAGUCUGGGAGGCCUGUACAGGACAGAGGGGAUAGGACCCCACAACCACCACAGACGGAAAGCAGGAGAGGGUCUUGGCCCAGCAGUGGCAGCUCCUGCCUUGCCAGAAACUUCCUUUUUACUGUUAUUGAGUAUUACAGCCUAGUCCCCUCAUGAACACCCUGAGCUCCCAUUAGUAGAAACUGUAGGAGUGGGUGGGCAGGGAGCAUGUGGCACGGCCUGGACUCUGCUGGGUUGGUGCACAGAGACCCACCCCUCCCAGGCUCCAGCCUCUCAGUGAGGACAGUACUCCAUGAGACCUGGGACACAAGGUACAAGGAAUCCUGUGCUUCCUGCCCGCACAUGGCCAUUUGCUCCUAGUUCACGCACGUGGAAGGGAACGCUUCCUGCCCACACCCCCUCUAACAGGGCUCAAAUUCAGUCAGGAAGUGCCGUGUGCUACAUCCCCUUCUUGACAUUCGUGAUACAUCUUAGCUUAUUAAAGGUUCUGAGAAGACUUGCAAUAACUUUUAUUGUAUAAUUUUCAUUCAGCGCAGUUACAGAUCUUAAGUGUGCAGUUCAAUGCAUUUUGACAAAAGAUCACACCCAUAUAACCCACAGUCAUGUCAAGACUUAGAACCUUCUCAUUGCCCCAGAAAGCUCCCUCACACCCCUUUCCCAUCAUUCCCACUCCUACCCCAGAGGCAACCACAUUAUGACUUCAUAACAGUAAGUCAGUUUUGCCCAUUCUGAAGCGUCAUAUAGAUGGAUUCUUAUCCAAUAUGUGCUCUUUUGUGUCUGGCUUCUUUUACUCAGCACAAUAUCUGCAAAAUUCAUCCAUGUUGUUGCCUGUGUUAGUAGUUCCUUACUUUUAAUUGCUAGGAGUUUUCCACUGUAAGAAUAUAUUUAUUACAGUUUGUUUAUCUAUUUUCCUGCUGGUAAAUAUUUAGGGUUUUCCAUUUUUUGCUUGAAAAAAGCUGCCAUGAACACAUCUGUACUAGACUUUCUGUGAACAAAGUUUCACGUUUUCCUAGGUAGGCAUACCUAGGAAUGGAACCUGCAGCUAUGCGCACUGCCAAACUAUUUCCCAAAGUACCAGUUUACAGCCCCCCAGAAAAGUAUGAGAGUUUCUGUUGCUCCAUAGCCUCACCAUUAUUUGGUGUUGUUUCUACAGUAAUUUUUAAAAUUUUUUGUUUAAUUCAUCAUUUCCCAUGCUUAUUAAACCACUGAAUUUUUUCCCUUAUAACCCUUUUUAACAAAACUAGUGUGCUGUAGAAUUCAUUUUGAGGAGUGAGGAUCUAGACCUUCAUUUAUAAAUAGGAUAAAUCAAACAUUAGCUACAACAAGAAAUCACCAGAAUAUGAGGAGAAAGAGAAGCUCCAAAGAGGGAGCCAAGGUGAGAAGUCAGAAGGAGGCCUCCAGUAAGAAGGAAGGAAUUCAGUAAAUAACUUUGUAAAAAUUCUGAGACACAUUUUAAGAGAUCCAGAGGAUGUCACAGAGAUAGAACUGGAGCAGCCACUGGGAAAGAGAAAGAGAAUCCAGAAACUACAAGCAUGACUGCCAAAAGCAAGGCCACUUUGGAAGCAUCCAGAAGGAGAAUGCUGGAAAUGCAAAAAGGGACGUGGAGAGAGAACUAAGAGUUCAAGAAAGUCAGAAGAAAACAUUCCUAGGGUGACCUCCAAGGUUGCCCUGAGCACUGAUAUCCAUCUGUGGAUCAAAAAAUGAGAGAAAGGAUCAUGCAUGAGAAAGCACACGUAUCCAAAACAAGAAAGAGAAGUGGGAAUAAGCUUUGAAACUGAGGGAAUUUAAAAAUUAUAAGGAGUUCCUCUGCAUAACUCUCUAUCCCAAAGAUGCCCGGGGCCAUCCAACACCAUCCUACAUGAGUGGAAAGAUGACAGAGAAGAUCGAGUGGAAGAGUCUUAAUUGAAACAUUUUAUUUCUGCACCCAAGAGCCUUCAUCCUCAUGUCUAGGGGAUCCCAUUGCAGGCUGGCUCUUUGCCCUCACCUCUGAGUGACCCAUCCAGCAACAGCCUGUACCAAGCAAGCCUAUCAUUGUCUUCCUACCCAAACUCCUCUUCGUUGAACCUGUCUUCAACCACAGCCCUAACUUAAGAGGGAGAAUAGUCUUAGGCAGCCAUGCUUCUGCUGAGUAACGCCUCUCCCCGGCCACAGCUGAUUGGAUGACACCUGAUGGGGGGGCCAAUCCAUCUGAGCAAGGCUAGAUUGAGCCAGGUGCUCCACAAGAGUGGAUGUAUAGUAUAUACCACACUAUAUACAUUGUUAUGUAUCUUGCUCUUUUCACUUAACAGUCCUAGAAAUCAUUCCAUAUCAUAAAGUGAUUCUUUUUUUUUUUUCACAACCAAAGUCCAUAGUUUAGUUUGGGGUUCACUCUUUGUGCAGUACAUUCUGUGGGUUUUGACAAAUAUAUAAUGGCAUGUGUCCACCAUUGUAGUUUCAUAUAGAGUAGUUUCACUGCCCCAAAAAUCCUCUGUCCUCCAUAUAUGCAUCCCUCCCUUGCCACAAAUCCCUGGCAACCUCUGAUCAUUUUACUGUCUCCAGAAUUUUACUUUUUCCAGGAUGUCAUAUGGUUGGAAUCACAGAGCAUGUAGCCUUUUCACAUUGGCUUCUUUGACUUAGUAAUAUGGAUUUAAGUUUCCUCCAUGUCUUUCUGUGACUUGAUAGCUCACUGAAUAGUAUUCUAUUAUCUGGAUGUACCACAGUUUGUU
rnacentral:lncRNA from 1 species